AGCCCACCAGCGGUAUGGGGCCACAAAUCCAUAUGGGGCCAUUUUGCUGGGCCCCACAACGUUUAGUGCUUUAGCGUGCAUCAGGAGCCUACCCUGAUGCUCCUCAUGCUUUUUUCUCACUUUGUCCAGGAAGUGACCAAGAGUGGAAAUGUGUGUGUGAAGUGUGUGUGCUCUCUGCCCCCCUGGAGGUGGGAGGAUGCCAUUGCAGCCACACACACACUUCCGGAAGUGUGUGUGAUAUUAGCCAAUAAUGUUCAAGACUAUUAAGCGUCAUAGUCUCGCGGGAUUUUACGGGAUUUGUUUGAGAGCUACUGUAAACACGGCUAAUACUGACAACACAGACCGAUGCUGUAACAACUGAACCUCAAAUGAUUAAGAGCAAUGACAUCCAAAAGGAAGGCCCGGAUAAAGCCUGUUGAAGAUGCAAUCUCAUAUAUUCUGUCAGCUGGAGACAAGCCAUGGUUUGCAGUGAGAUUUAUCAAUAAUAUCAAAGGAAGAGGAGUGUUUGCUACCGAACCAAUCGAGCAAGGUUCUUUUGUGUUGGAGUACAGGGGUGAAUUCAUAUCAGCAGAAGAAUGCAGAUCAAGGAACUACUCAGAGACACAGAGUACAUUUCUGUAUGACUUUG